GUCCACGCCCUAAACGAUGUCGACUGGUUGUUGGGUGGGUAACCACUUAGUAACGAAGCUAACGCGUGAAGUCGACCGCCUGGGGAGUACGGUCGCAAGAUUAAAACUCAAAGGAAUUGACGGGGACCCGCACAAGCGGUGGAUGAUGUGGUUUAAUUCGAUGCAACGCGAAAAACCUUACCUACACUUGACAUGUCAGAAAUCCUUCAGAGAUGAGGGAGUGCCGCAAGGAAUCUGAACACAGGUGCUGCAUGGCUGUCGU
rnacentral:rRNA from 1 species